rnacentral:rRNA from 1 species
UUCCGGUUGAUCCUGCCGGACCUGACUGCUAUCGGAUUGAUACUAAGCCAUGCGAGUCUUUGUAGCAAUACAAGGCAUACGGCUCAGUAGCACGUAGUCAAUCUACCCUAUGGACGGGGAUAACCUCGGGAAACUGAGAAUAAUACCCGAUAGAUCAUUAUGCCUGGAAUGGUUUAUGAUCCAAAUGAAUUUCGCCAUAGGAUGGGACUGCGGUCUAUCAGCUUGUUGGUGAGGUAAUGGCCCACCAAGGCUAUAACAGAUACGGGCUCUGAGAGGAGAGGCCCGGAGAUGGGUACUGAGACACGGACCCAGGUCCUAUGGGGCGCAGCAGGCGAGAAAACUUUGCAAUGUGCGAAAGCACGACAAGGUUAAUCCGAGUGUUUCCUGCUAAAGGAAUCUUUUGUCAGUCAUAACACCACCGACGAAUAAGGGGUGGGCAAGUUCUGGUGUCAGCCGCCGCGGUAAAACCAGCACCUCAAGUGGUCAGGAGGAUUAUUGGGCCUAAAGCAUCCGUAGCCGGCUUUGUAAGUUUUCGGUUAAAUCCAUAUGCUCAACAUAUGGGCUGCCGGGAAUACUGCACAGCUAGGGAGUGGGAGAGGUAGACGGUACUCCAUAGGAAGGGGUAGAAUCCUUUGAUCUAUGGAAGACCACCUGUGGCGAAGGCGGUCUACCAGAACACGUUCGACGGUGAGGGAUGAAAGCUGGGGGAGCAAACCGGAUUAGAUACCCGGGUAGUCCCAGCUGUAAACUAUGCAAACUCGGUGAUGCACUGGCUUGUGGCCAGUGCAGUGCCGCAGGGAAGCCGUUAAGUUUGCCGCCUGGGAAGUACGUACGCAAGUAUGAAACUUAAAGGAAUUGGCGGGGGAGCACCACAAGGGGUGAAGCCUGCGGUUCAAUUGGAUUCAACGCCGGA